rnacentral:rRNA from 1 species
CGGGGGGGCAAGCGUUGUUCGGAAUUACUGGGCGUAAAGGGCGCGUAGGCUGUUCGCUAAGUUGGAUGUGAAAACUCUGGGCUUAACCCAGAGCCUGCAUCCAAAACUGGCGGGCUGGAGUUUUGGAGGGGGAAGCGGAAUUCCUGGUGUAGCAGUGAAAUGCGUAGAUAUCAGGAGGAACACCGGUGGCGAAGGCGGCUUCCUGGACAAAAACUGACGCUGAGGCGCGAAAGCUAGGGGAGCAAACAGGAUUAGAUACCCUGGUAGUCCUAGCCCUAAACGAUGGAUACUUGCUGUGAGGGGGAUUGAAUCCCUUCGUGGCGAAGCUAACGCAUUAAGUAUCCCGCCUGGGGAGUACGGUCGCAAGGCUG